rnacentral:lncRNA from 1 species
GAGUUCUAGGACUUCCUUCAUUUUGCCAAAAUCAUUGUUACCGGAUUAAGGUCGUGGCUAUGAAAAGUUGGGUAUUUUGCUCCCUGAUUUCAAAUCAGGUUGCGGUGGUUGCAAGGGGCUUGGUGGCUGUAGGGUGAUGAUGGUGGUGGAACUUGGUGGGUGGUGGUUAGGAUACAAAGGCUGAGAGGAUAGAGAGUUUAGAGAGAGAGAGUAGUUUGGGGAGAGAGAGAGAAAGUCUU